GCCAGAGUGGUGUAGUGGUAUGAGUGUUGGACUAUGAUUCUGGAGAACAGAGUUCAAAGCCCUGCUCAGCCA